rnacentral:rRNA from 1 species
CCUACGGGAGGCAGCAGUGGGGAAUAUUGCACAAUGGGCGAAAGCCUGAUGCAGCAACGCCGCGUGAGCGAUGAAGGCCUUCGGGUCGUAAAGCUCUGUCCUCAAGGAAGAUAAUGACGGUACUUGCGGAGGAAGCCCCGGCUAACUACGUGCCAGCAGCCGCGGUCAUACGUAGGGGGCUAGCGUUAUCCGGAAUUACUGGGCGUAAAGGGUGCGUGGGUGGUUUCUUAAGUCAGAGGUGAAAGGCUACGGCUCAAACGUAGUAAGCCUUUGAAACUGGGGAACUUGAGUGCAGGAGAGGAGAGUGGAAUUCCUAGUGUAGCGGUGAAAUGCGUAGAUAUUAGGAGGAACACCAGUUGCGAAGGCGGCUCGCUGGACUGUAACUGACACUGAGGCACGAAAGCGUGGGGAGCAAACAGGAUUAGAUACCCGGGUAGUC